AUUCUCGUUUAUCCUGCGAGAGGUUGCUGCUAUCGGAAUUCGACUAAGCCAUGCAAGUCUAGCCUCGCAAGAGACUGGCGAAAGGCUCAGUAACACGUCGACAAUCUACCUUACAGUCUGGGAUAACCUCGGGAAACUGAGGACAAACCCGGAUAGGAAAGUUCUGCUGGAAUGCUGUCUUUCUGAAAAGCAAUGCUGUAAGAUGAGUCGGCGGCUGAUUAGGCAGUUGGUGAGGUAACGGCUCACCAAACCAGAGAUCAGUAUGGGGGAUGAGAGUCCUAGCCCAGAGAAGGACACUGAGAUAAGGGUCCUAGCCCUAAGGGGUGCAGCAGGCGCGAAACCUUUGCAAUGCGCGAAAGCGUGACAGGGGAAUUCCGAGUGCUUAUCUUUCAGAUAGGCUUUUGUUAAGUCUAAAUAGCUUAGCGAAUAAGUGGUGGGCAAUACCGGUGCCAGCCGCCGCGGUAAUCCCGGAGCCACAAGUGGGAACCACGUUUAUUGGGUCUAAAGCGUUCGUAGCCGCCGUUGUAAGUUCCUUGUGAAAUUGUUAGGCUUAACCUAACAACCUGCAAGGAAUACUACUUCGGUAGAGAUUGGGAGGAGGCAGGGGUAUUCCUAGGGUAGCGGUAAAAUGCGAUCAUCCUUGGAGGACCACCAAUAGCGAAGGCAUCUGCCUAGAACAAGUCUGACGGUCAGGAACGAAAGCUAGGGGAGCAAACCGGAUUAGAUACCCGGGUAGUCCUAGCCGUAAACACUGCAUGUUAGGUGUUGCACAUUCUUUAUGAAUGUGCAGUGCCGGAGCGAAGGCGUUAAACAUGCCACCUGGGAAGUACGGCCGCAAGACUGAAACUUUAAGGAAUUGGCGGGGGCGCACUACAAGGGGUGUAGCGUGCGGUUUAAUCUAACUCUACACAGAGAAUCUCACCAGGGUCGACGGCAGGAUGAAGGUCAGAUUAAAGGUUUUACCUGACGAGCCGAGAGAUGUUGCAUGGCCGUCGUCAGCUCGUGCCGUGAGGUGUUAUGUUAAGUCAUGCAACGAGCAAGACCCAUGCUUAUAGUUGCAAACGACGCAAUCUGCGGAUCGUGCACACUAUAGGGACUGCCUUCGUAAGGAGGAGGAAGGUGUGGGCAACGAUAGGUCUGUAUGGCUCGAAUACUCUGGGCAACACGCGCGCCUCAAUGGCAUGGACAAUGGGAUGCAACUCCGAGAGGAGAAGCCAAACCUCUAAACCAUGCCCUAGUUCGAAUUGAGGGCUGUAACUCGCCCUCAUGAAGCUGGAAUCCCUAGUAAUCGCUUGUCAACAGCGAGCGGUGAAUAAGUCCCUGUGCCUUGCACACACUGCCCGUCAAGCCAACCGAGCAGGAUGUAGGUGAGGGUUAACUCAAAGUUAAUUCAAACCUAUGUUCAGUGAGGUGGGCUAAGUCGUCACAAGGUACCUGUAGGGGAACCUGCGGGUGGAUCACCUCCU
rnacentral:rRNA from 1 species